rnacentral:rRNA from 1 species
GUCCUCUAGAUUUUAAUUUGAGGUUUAACCUGCCCACUGAAAUAUUUAAAUGGCCGCAGUAAUUUGACUGUGCAAAGGUAGCAUAAUCAUUAGUUUUUUAAUUAAAAGCUUGUAUGAAGGGUUGGACGAGGUAAAAUCUGUCUCUAUUUAAUUUAUAAUAAAAUUUAAUUUUUAAGUUAAAAAGCUUAAAUGAUAUUAAAAGACGAGAAGACCCUAUAGAUCUUUAUAUUAUUUAAAUUAAUUUUAAUAUAGAAUUUUUUAUUUUUUAAUUUAAAUAAUAUUUUAUUGGGGUAAUAAAAAGAUUAAAAAAAUUCUUUUUAAAAUAUACAUUGAUAUAUGAUUAAGUGAUCCAAUUUUUUUGAUUAAAAGAUUAAGUUACCUUAGGGAUAACAGCGUAAUUUUUUUGAAGAGUUCAUAUCGAUAAAAAAGUUUGCGA